ACAUUCAAAGACCAGCUGAGCCAGAAGACUUUUCUCAGAGUCUCACAGCUGAAGGGGAAGGGAGGCCUCAGCAGAGGUGGGCUGGUGUGGGAGGAAGCAAAGCAGAGGGGCUGGUGAUCAUAGGCAGUGAGUGCUGUCUUACCUAACUCCAUAUGUCGCUGGAAUUCCAGCUCCGGGGACUCUUGCUGGCAGUCGCUUCUGGAUAGGUUGAUGUGCUCAGCCUUUAGCUGGAAGUAUCACUAGGCUACAGAGUGGGUUGGCAUAGCUUUCUGUCUUCGUCUAAGCUAGAUAUCAUGUUUGAGAGCCAAAAGACCCAUACCUACUUCAUUGUCCUGUGAUCAGUAGAGGAAGGUGUGUACCCCCACCCACAGUCUCCCUUCAAAAAGGCAGCUUGAUGCAUUGAAACAGGAGUGGACCCUGGACUCUGACAGCACUGGUUCAAGUCCUGGCUCUGCCAUGUGUAGUGGCUGAAGGAAUGAACUUGGGCAAAUCAUUUGACUCCCCUGACCCUUUUCUCAUUUGGAAAAUUGUGAGCACAAUCACUGCCAACCUCAAACCCCUUCCGCACACCCAGGCUUAGAGUAAAAAGUCAGAAAACAUGACUUUAAAGCUCACCUAAAAUUUCCUUUCCUCCCUUCACUUAAAAAUAGGAGGUGUGGAGAGUGGGAAGAGCUCCCAUCCAGAGGGAUGGCAGGAGAAAAAUUUGUAGCCUGUGCUGGCUGACAGAUGUGUGCGCAAGGGCAGUUCAAGAGAACAACAUUAAUCACAAGCAGCCAUAAAGGGCCAAAAGUUGAGGCUUUGGGAACGGAUGCCUACUUCCAUCUGACAAUAAUGUGCUCAAGACAGUGACUUUAUCCUCCUUACAGAGUAAACAACACCUUGAUGGCCUAAAAGAGAGUUUGAAUGGAUGGGGGGAAGAAAAGGGGCACAGAUCUUGUAGUUGCAGCCUUUACAAAUACCUGUGGGGAUUUAUUUGGGGCAGGCUUCUUUGUUUUUAAGACACAUAACUCAGAAUAAGAAUAAAAAAUUAUGCAUAGAGAGUGGAGUCA
rnacentral:lncRNA from 1 species